CAGAAGUGCUUUCCUCUGCUCAGGUUUGUUUCCCAUUAUUGUUUUAUUAUAUUCACAGAGAGAUUACAUCACGAUAGCAUGAUCAAAGUUAAAUGUGCAAGAUAAUUGAUCGUUGCUGGGAGUGGUCAAUAGAGGUAGCCCUGUCGCUUACCUUGCAGUCUACAGUUCCUUCUUGAGAUUGAUAUAUUUAAGGGUCUUUCACAAUUCUACAUUUCUAAAAGAGAGCUAUAUGGGAUCAGUUUUAAAAUUUGUGUCACAAUUGAGGAUUGAAUAAGGUAGAGUGGAUUUGCAAGAAGAUGGAAGUGCCACAUGUGAAGACAAGUUGUCUGAGUGGAAAUUGAGAUGUUUUACAUGCACAUUGUAGACCAACAAAUGUACUGAAACGAAAGGUCAAGCAUACUGAAGUUGCAAAGCGAGUAACAUGAGAAGUUGGCCUAGGAUGACAUGGGGUGAAGUGGUAAAAAGGUCUUAGCAACUCUUGUAACACUCUAGGUCUAACUAGCCCAAAAAACUUUAAAGCUCAAAGCACUUGGUCCAAAAUGGUUAACCAAGUUAUUUUAGUAGUUAGGGCCUCGGGCACAUAAACCAUUUUACUCCUUUAUCCCUGAAAGAUGUGGGACUUCACAAUAUCACCCACUUUUGCAAUGUACUGAUCGCAAUCCGUACUGUGCUAAUAUAUUGUGUCGUGCUAGGUAUAAUGGCUAAACUAGGACCCAUUAUUGGGUAUUGUGGUUCACUAGUAACUCAGGCAGCUCCUCAUUGUCUCUGACUACGUAUAGCAAUUUCCUCGUACACCCACUAGCUCUGCACAAUUGUCUAAUCAAGUUUUGAUACCAAUUGUAACAUGCCAAAUGCAUCUUAUCUGAAUAAUUUUCAAACACAAACCACUCAAUCCAAAAUGGCUAACCCAAAUUACUUUAAUUGUUAGGGCCUAGUGUGUAUAAACCCUUUUACUCUAUUAUUUCCAAACGAUGUUGGACAUCACAACUUUAGAUCUUUGUUCUGUAAAACCACAUGGCAUUGAGUGAAAAAAAAUUUUUAUAUAGCUGAUUCCAACUAGAUUGGAGUUAAGGCUUAGUUAAGGAAAUUUAAGGAAGUUUAUUUUUAGUCUUGCAUUUGUAUGCAUCAGAUGCUACUUGUUACUAAAUGAGUAGUUUGCCAUUGUUGUUGGAGUUGCGGUUGAGAAAACACAUCCUUAAAUAUGUUACUUAGAUGGUACUAAAAAUUGGUUUAAAAGAUAAAUUUGACAUGUUUUAGUCUCCAAAACAGCUGUACAGUUUUUCAAUUUUUCUUUUCA
rnacentral:misc_RNA from 1 species